CUCCACGUGGUGGCACCGUUCAGAAAGAUUGGAGAACCUUACAAUGUGGAACGUGACUACAGGAAGUGGAUCAGUAGAGCCUCGCCUUACAGGUCAUAGUCAAGCCUGUUUCUAACCCAAGUUCUUCCCCUCUCUGUCUCUGCUUCCUGCUCUGUGGAAAUUUGAGGAAUCCUAGACACAUUCUCCACAGUGUGAAGUCUGUUGUGCCUUCUCUGCUGUUGUAAAUGAAGACUGCUCAAACUGGAAGAUCUGGAAAUGCCUGGUCAAACUAUGGAGUUACCCAAGCAUUGCAAACCAGCCAGUUACGGAAAGCACCUGCUGGAGGAGAACACAGCCCACAGAGCAGCACAUGGCUUCUCUCUAAAUGGCUGAUGCUUUCUAAUUUAUCAGGCUCUGGUGCUCUCACAGACCUUGGGCAGGGCACUUUAUUUCCCUGAACAUGAGGUCCCUCAUCAGGAAAUGUUGGGAGCCGCCCCCACAUUCGCCGUUACAAGAUGGCGCUGACAUCCUGUGUUCUAAGUGGUAAA
rnacentral:lncRNA from 1 species